rnacentral:lncRNA from 1 species
AUCUGGUAGACUCCAAGGCCAUCAAUUUUUCACCAUCUCCGAAUGUUAAUGCCAAUCCCAUGCCGGCACAUGGUCAGGCGUUGGUGGGUGCAAUUGCUGAAGAUUCGGAUCACGCCUGUACAGUAGGUGGGGAGACUGACAGUGACUGCGAGUUGGAUGGUUGGAUAAAACCGUGCGUACCAGGGAUGGAAGUCUAGAACUGGAAGGCCUAAAAAGAUCAUCACUGUCACUCUACUGGAAGAGUAAUAUU